UGGGUGAUCUGCCCUCGAUUCUGGGAUAGCCCGGGGAAACCCGGAUUAAUACCGGAUAGCCUCUCGAGCUUUCGAGCUUGUGAGAAAAGGUAGCUUCGGCCUCCGAUCGAGGAUGAGCCCGCGGCGGAUUAGCUUGUUGGUGGGGUAAUGGCCUACCAAGGCGACGAUCCGUAGCUGGUCUGAGAGGACGAUCAGCCACACUGGGACUGAGACACGGCCCAGACUCCUAGGGAGG
rnacentral:rRNA from 1 species